rnacentral:ncRNA from 1 species
GAGAGCCUAGUGAUGGGUAACUAUCUCGCUGGGUUCGGAGAGAGCUUAGAUCUUAUAUUACUAGAACAGACAAAUGUGUGUUGUAAUAUUAUGAUUUAUUCUACUUUAU